rnacentral:rRNA from 1 species
AUUGAACGCUGGCGGCAGGCCUAACACAUGCAAGUCGAGCGCGCGGCGGGCAGGGGAGUAAUGUAUGGGGGCUGCCCGAGAGAGAGGGAUAACUACUGGAAAAGGUAGCUAAUACCGCAUACUAUCGGAUAACCCCGAUGGGGUUAGCUCGUAGGUGAGGUAAUGGCUCACCUAGGCGCCGAUCCCUAGCUGUUCUGAGAGGAUGAUCCGCCACACUGGGACUGAGACACGGCCCAGACUCCUACGGAGGCAGCAGUGGGGAAUAUUGCACAAUGGGCGCAAGCCUGAUGCAGCCAUGCCGCGUGUAUGAAGAAGGCCUUCGGGUUGUAAAGUACUUUCAGUCGGGAGGCGUUACCGACAGAAGAAGCACCGGCUAACUCCGUGCCAGCAGCCGCGGUAAUUC